rnacentral:rRNA from 1 species
CAGUAGCCACGGUAAUACGAAGGGGGCUAGCGUUGUUCGGAUUUACUGGGCGUAAAGGGAGCGUAGGCGGAUUGUUAAGUCAGGGGUGAAAUCCCAAGGCUCAACCUUGGAACUGCCUUUGAUACUGGCGAUCUUGAGUCCGGGAGAGGUGAGUGGAACUGCGAGUGUAGAGGUGAAAUUCGUAGAUAUUCGCAAGAACACCAGUGGCGAAGGCGGCUCACUGGCCCGGAACUGACGCUGAGGCUCGACAGCGUGGGGAGCAAACAGGAUUAGAUACCCCUGUAGUCCCUGUCUCUUAUAC